UGGGGAAUUUUGGACAAUGGGCGCAAGCCUGAUCCAGCAAUGCCGCGUGCAGGAUGAAGGCCUUCGGGUUGUAAACUGCUUUUGUACGGAACGAAAAAGCUCUCUCUAAUACAGGGGGUGAAUGACGGUACCGUAAGAAUAAGCACCGGCUAACUACGUGCCAGCAGCCGCGGUAAUACGUAGGGUGCAAGCGUUAAUCGGAAUUACUGGGCGUAAAGCGUGCGCAGGCGGUUUUGUAAGACAGAGGUGAAAUCCCCGGGCUCAACCUGGGAACUGCCUUUGUGACUGCAAAGCUGGAGUGGGGCAGAGGGGGAUGGAAUUCCGCGUGUAGCAGUGAAAUGCGUAGAUAUGCGGAGGAACACCGAUGGCGAAGGCAGCCCCCUGGGCCUGUACUGACGCUCAUGCACGAAAGCGUGGGGAGCAAACA
rnacentral:rRNA from 1 species